rnacentral:rRNA from 1 species
AUACGUAUGUCGCAAGCGUUAUCCGGAUUUAUUGGGCGUAAAGCGCGUCUAGGCGGCUUAGUAAGUCUGAUGUGAAAAUGCGGGGCUCAACCCCGUAUUGCGUUGGAAACUGCUAAACUAGAGUACUGGAGAGGUAGGCGGAACUACAAGUGUAGAGGUGAAAUUCGUAGAUAUUUGUAGGAAUGCCGAUGGGGAAGCCAGCCUACUGGACAGAUACUGACGCUAAAGCGCGAAAGCGUGGGUAGCAAACAGGAUUAGAUACCCUGGUAGUCCACGCCGUAAACGGUGAUUACUAGGUGUUGGGGGUCGAACCUCAGCGCCCAAGCUAACGCGAUAAGUAAUCCGCCUGGGGAGUACGUACGCAAGUAUGAAACUCAAAUGAAUUGACGGGG